CACGUAGGGCGCAAGCGUUGUCCGGAAUUAUUGGGCGUAAAGAGCUCGUAGGCGGUCUGUUGCGUCCGCUGUGAAAACUCGGGGCUUAACCCCGAGCCUGCAGUGGAUACGGGCAGACUAGAGGUAGGUAGGGGAGAAUGGAAUUCCCAGUGUAGAGGUGAAAUUCGUAGAUAUUGGGAAGAACACCGGUGGCGAAGGCGGCGCUCUGGACCGAGACUGACGCUGAGGCGCGAAGGCGUGGGGAGCAAACAGG
rnacentral:rRNA from 1 species